CGGGUUCGAGCCCCGCUGCCGGCGGAACGCCGCCCCUUCGCCUGGGGCUGGCCCCUGAGGGCUCGGCCAGGCCAGGCAAUGAAACCAUGAUCUAAUCCAGGGCCAGAGUGGUAAACAAGUGGUUUGCUGUUUGGACAUGUAAGGAAUUUCCAUGCUGUGAAGGAUUUGCUUGUGGAUGCAGAGCAGGCAUGAAGGGUCCACUGGAGGAAUUUUGGUCCAAUCUCCAUUCCAAGUGGGGCCAUGUAGAUGAAGCUGCUCUCUGAUGAUCCUUCCCUGAGAGAUGGCCCAUGGUGAAAGUAAAACCUUCAAGUUUUGAUUAGGAAAGCAUUUCUCAAGUUUCUUGUGAGCACAGACUGACCUCUUCUGAAUAGUUUGUCUUCCCAAGAUUUCUCUGAGUGCAGCAGUUCUGCCCAGACUAGGGAACAGCUUAAAAUUCUGCUGAUAGCAACAACUCAGAUUCCUCCAAGGUGAGGGAGUGAGCAUUGAUCAGAGUUUACUUGUUUGAUGUGUGAAGAUCCUUUUCUUUGCCUUGGAAGAACUGCACUGCAGUGAGCAGUUACAUGAGCUUGCAUAAGUACUUGCAGCCAGUUCUCAUGUCCAUAUCCUGCAGGAAAUGAGCAAUGUCUAGUAAGCAGAUCAAUUACUAUUCUUUAUCCUGUUUUUCACCAUAUAACUCUUUUUCUUUCUGAAAUUUGCCUAACUUUAUGGUUCAUGCUUCUUAGUUAAGAAGGAAAAUACUUUUUUCUCUCUUACAUGCUUUAGACUCUGGUGAUUCCAUUUGAAUCCUCUUCAUUGGAAAGGAUGCCCUGGACUGUCUUUGGCCUAGCACUGGAUAAAUAUAAGAAAGACAGAACUGCUGGAUUGAACAGAGGCAUUGCAAAAUUAAGUUUUCUACUGCUUUUACUUUGUAAUUUGCCUCCUGGUUGAUGUAGCAGCAUUACCUCUAGCAGUACUUGCUCUCUCUUUAGCCUCUGUAUUGAUAUUUCUCCCAAUAAGUGAGGAAUCUAUUUUUGUGAGCAUCUUGUGACAACCGGCUCAAGUGACAUAAGCCACUGAGCAGCUAUUGAACAAAUCCAGGCUAGAUUCAGAAUAGGAAAUUAGAGGGUGAAGUCUCCACAUCCAAAUAGCAACAACAGAUUCAUCUGGACCAAAUUUUUGUCCUUCAGCUUCUGCUUGGUGUGACAACUGCCCACUUAAAAUAGCAUUGAAAUGGAAAAGAAAGGAAGCUGUGUCAGUACUUUCAGUCCCGCUGCGGAAGGUGUUGGUUCACCCCUAAUGCAUAAUGCAUAGCCUCUCCAAAAUACACAUCCCAUCAGUUCCCAGGAUCUGCAAUGUUAUAAAGCAGCUUGGGAAAGAAAAGGAAGAAUAACUUCUCCAAAUGCAGCCAGGGAGAGAAGUCUGAGAGAGCCCUGGAUAUAAUUACCUGAGCUGGAGUCCAGCCAGGAGAAUGCUGAGCUAAGGAACAGUAAAGUCCUGACUCUGCACAAGGGAUCCAGACAAAUUUAAAAGAAACUGCAAUAACAGAAGUGGGAUUUGAGCAUCUGGGAAGACGUUUGAGAGAGUGAAUGAAUACAAACUAAGACCUCUAGGGAGUCUGAUAGGAAACAAAAGGAGCAAAAUGAAAUACGUGUAUCAUGGUAAUAUAUGUGGCACUGACUGUCUUACACUCAGGGCUACCUGAUAAAACUCUUUCUUCUGCAUGAUCUAAGAAAUCAAACUUCUCUGAGUUCAUUUACCUCUUUAUACAAGCCAGACUACAUGAACAUGGAUGGAAAUGAGACUCUGUUGUGCUCUUAAAUAAUGAUGAAUAAUAACUGAGUCAGACCUGACAAAUAUGUUAAAUUUUUAACCAAGUUAAUUAGCCACCAUUAAUGGGAAGUUUGUGCAGGAAGAAGGAUUUCUCUCUGUUGGGCUGCUCCCCAGCUAAGAAGACCUGGUCUCUGGCCAGAAGUAUUUUACCUUUAGUCACCAAUUUCUUAAAGGCUAGUUAUUCUAACACUUGACCACUGUUUCUGGACAGGACUGGUAUCAUACAAACAUUUCAAUUUUCCUUCCCUUUUUCCUCUUUUACAGACUUUCCUCUUCUACAAAGUCUUCACAUCUCCACAAUCAGCAAACCAAUAUACCUGACAGAAGGGUGAAAAGGGUCUGCCAUUAACUGCCUUUCAUUUUAAGAUCCUGUUCUUGGGGUGAUGGUUUUUGUAUUUGUUGGGAGCUUGAAGCAUACCCAGGCAGCUACCAUUGCUCAGACCAUGCCCAAAGCUUUUUGGGCCUUCCAUACUGUUCUCAUUCACUCCAAAUGGUUUAUCAAAUUUGUUAAAGAGAUGUGGUUAAAAAGGAGUGCCAAUGCAAAACUGGAGAGCUGAUGCAUGCGAGCAGGGAAGGUGGUCCAGAGGGCAGUGGUAAAAAAAAAAAAAAAAAAAAGAAUAAAAAUUAAAAAGGAAGGGCUGGAGGGAAGGUGGGACAUGAGGGAAUCCAAGUGGGGUAGUGUCUGGAAUCUGAAACUGUGCAUUCUUCCCACUGGCAGAUUUUUUCUUACUUUCUUUAAGCUGUUCCUUUUUUCACAUUUCUUGUUCCCCCUGGCUCAUUUAUUUUAUGCCAAGAGGCUUAUUUGUCUUUCCUGGCUUAUUUGUAGUGCAUCUGGAUUUAGGCACCCUGAUAAAUCAGUUCCUCUGAAGACUGUGAUCUAAAAAUGAACGUUGAGUUGGAUUUUGAGCUAAUUUAAACUGAUACACAUCUGAUGAAGUGAAGUUUAGCCAUGUAAAAUUCCACUGCUUUAGCACAUGCAUAAACAAUGAACAUUAUUCUCCUUCAGUGUGUCAGAAAAAGAUACUGUCUGCUCCUUCCAAAAAUAUUAUUUUACAUUUGAUACACGUACCUAUAAAUGUCUGUAUUUUGCAGUUUUGAAAAUCUAAACAUGGAAAUGUAUUAUGUUCAGACAUUCCACAUGCUUCAAGAGAUUGUCUUCUACCAAGCACAUUAUUUUUGAGAAGAGCUAAAACCUUUCAUUGGUUUUAUCUGCCUGAAUGUAUUGGCUUAAAUGUGUGUUUUAUUUGCUGUAUAAUAUCAUGUGUGCUUACUGUGCUUCAGCAGACAAGCAUAAGCUGGGGUCAGAGUGCAAGCUCAGACAACAGUCUGCAAUUUUCAGUACCCUGCAGGAUUUGCGAUUGCAUUAGUAAUUUUUAGGUUUGUUUUAUUAUUAAACACAGAAUGAGAGCA